rnacentral:rRNA from 1 species
ACAAGCGGUGGAGCAUGUGGUUUAAUUCGAUGAUACGCGAGGAACCUUACCUGGGCUCAAAUGUAUGUUGACGUAUUCUGAAAGGGAUACUUCUUCGGACAAUAUACAAGGUGCUGCAUGGUUGUCGUCAGCUCGUGCCGUGAGGUGUCGGGUUAAGUCCCAUAACGAGCGCAACCCCUAUCAUUAGUUGCCAUCAGGUCAAGCUGGGGACUCUAAUGAAACUGCCUACGCAAGUAGUGAGGAAGGUGGGGAUGACGUCAAAUCAGCACGGCCCUUACGUCCAGGGCUACACACGUGCUACAAUGGCCGAUACAGAGGGCAGCUACCUGGUGACAGGAUGCAAAUCUCCAAAGUCGGUCUCAGUUCGGAUCGGAGUCUGCAACCCGACUCCGUGAAGUUGGAUUCGCCAGUAAUCGCGCAUCAGCCAUGGCGCGGUGAAUACGUUCCCGGGCCUU